rnacentral:misc_RNA from 1 species
AAGUCGUAACAAGGUUUCCGUAGGUGAACCUGCGGAAGGAUCAUUACAAUACUUUUACAAGUAUCAACCCAAAUUGUUGCACUGAAUGAGCGUCCGAUAGGAAAUACAAAAGUGGUUUGAGAGAAUUGGCGGCUUUGUGAAGUGCAUCGGCAUUUCGGUCAGUUCUCGAUUUCUCGCAAGCAAUUGUGAGAAAGCCCUUUUUUUCCUAGUUCGCGUAUUUUCUCAUUUUUUUUUAACCCCUUUCACCAAAUUACAAUUUAAACAACGAUUGAACUGAAUUCGAAGGAUGCUGAAAAGCGUCUAAUUCGAUUCUAUCUUUACGAAACGUAAGAACAACUCUUAACAACGGAUAUCUUGGCUCUC